AGGGUCUGAGAGGGAGGAGGGUCUCAGAGGUGAGGAGGGGAGGGUCUGAGAGGUGAGGCCCUACAGGCAGAAGGCCAGCUCUGCUCCAGCCCGCCAGCCCCAGGCCCGGAGCUGUCCUCCUGCCCUCACUACCCACCUUGGCAGACCUAAGGUGGCUGAGAAAUCUCGGCCUCCCCUUGGUUUCAGAGCCUCGAGGGCCUGGGUUCCUGCUUCUCGGUUCUUUCUAGGGACUGGGUUGGAUUGGAUUCCAGGUUCUUUCUUUCCCUUCCCUUUGGCAGCCGAUUAUUCAGAUUCUGUGGCUUGUAUGCAAGUUACAUAAAAAUAGACCCAGUCAGUCACUGUGGGGGUGACGUGCUGCGGGGAGGCUCAAGGACCCUCCGGCAUUUGAGAUGUGACCCCCGGCCUAGCGCAGAGGGGGGCCGAGGGCAGCGGGAGAGAGGUCCGGUGGCGGAGGGCCGGGGACGGAGAGUGGUGCCGUGCCGUGGGCGCCCGGAGGCUCAGCUCGUCGUCCUCAGUCUGUCCGGGCAGCAGGGAGGCGCGGGCAGAGAUCGGGGUCACCAGGGCCCUCUUGGCUUCCUCUUCUCUCUGUUCGUGGAGCCAACUAUCAGGAACACACAACAAGAAGGUGUGAUGGCUGCAGAUGCCCCACAGGGACCCAGGAGGUGCGACAUCCAGCCGGCAGACAAAUGGUGGGGACGCGUCCAGAUGGCGUCGGAACGUCCAGCCGCGCCCCUGCGUCCCUCCCCCGCCCGUGGUUCUGCACACACGUCUUGCUGCCGAGGGCCCCCGUGUGCCAGGUUCUGCUUGGCACGAAUCCCGAUGGCAUUCCCCCUGCCUUCUGCCUGUGCCUAAUGAGCAAUCCCGAGACACCCCGCGGCUGAGAGCCCCAGACCGCGAGCCCAGCACCUCGGAGAAAUGCUGUCCUCCAGCGGCUCAGCUAGUCCUGGGGCGCUCCUGCCCGAUCUCAUGGUUUCUGCCAUGUCGCCCAGAUCCCACCCCCCCCCCCAUCACCUCUUCCAGAACACGCGGUGGCUCGGCCACGGGACUCCUUUGCUGUGGCCUCCAGAACCCCGCGUGGCAGAGCCAGCGGGCGCAGGAGCAGAGACAGGGCCGGUGGCCGUCAGCCCAGGGCCCGGCCGAGCACACCUCACAAGAAAGGACAGGGGUCCGCGGGGCCUGCCUAGGGUAGAGGUGGGUGAGACAGAAACAGAGCCCAAGGGGUGUGACUGUGGGGACACUGACCCCUCUAGACGCCGCCUGCCUUUAUAUCCACGGUCAUCAUCAACCUCGAGCUCACCCAGCGAGGCGGCGGCCGCUCUUCACGGGGAUUGGCACCUACCCAAGUCACAGAGCGACCGAGCGGGCCAGGGGCCGAGCCCGGGCCAAGAGACAAGGUGGGCAGGCCGGGUGGUCAGCAGGGCCCCUGAACUGGGCCGAGGCCUGCAGGUCAGCAAGAGGGUAGAGGAACUCGAAUGCCAGGGGGACACAGGCUGUGCGUGGGCAGGCCACUGGGCUGUGGCCUUGUCAGCAACGCGGGACUUGGAGCCUCAGCCUCCACGGGAACGUCACAAAUUUCCAGACUCCCUUGUGUCUGAUCGAUGGUUCCCGUCUUUUCCCUGGCUGGCCACUGACUAGUUCCGGGAAAGGACUGGCAGACUGCAGAUGUCUGGGGUGAAACAGCGCCGCUGGGACACAGGACAGAGAGGAACAGUGGCAGGAGAGAGACGGUGCCCCCCACCGAAGUCUGCAGAGUCCCAGACUUCCCGGGGCUGGAGGGUCGAUUUCCUCAGACGUCGGGUUUCGACACGCCCAGGGGUCUCCUCUCUGACUAUACAUCCCAGCGAACCACGUGGCUGUGAUUCCAGUAACCGGAAAUGCCUGACUCCACCUGUCCCACGCAGAAGCUGGCCUGUGGUGCUGUGGGGACUGGUGACAGAGUUGUUCCGGUUCUGCAGGAUGUGACCAAACACAGUUCCAGGGAGCUAGCUGAUCAAGGGGUUUUGCAGAGUCCAUAUUUCGUAGA